UCUGCCUGCCUCUCUGCCUACUUGUGAUCUCUGUCAAAUAAAUAAAAUCUUAAAAAAAAAAAAGAAAUAGACCAUGCAUAUAUACUCUAAUGCCCUCUUGUAAACACAUAUAUUAUUUCUCUAUCCUUCAAUGUAUCUCUAUCACCUUAGGUAAAUAACCUCAAUAUAUUAUUAUGACUGUAUGUAUUAUUCAUAGUUGGUUCCAUUAGCAUAAUAUUACAUUUUGGUUUUUUGACUGAAAUUAGCCAGUGCCUCUUUUUCCAUGCUUUAAGUGGCUAGCACUUAAGUAUCUAUAAUUCAUUUAUCUAAAACUCUCAAUACAUUCAAACACAUCAGGUAGCCUAUCAGUUUAUUUUUCAAACUGGAGACAACCCUCUAGGAGUCUAUCAUUAUCCUUCAUUCUGGAUUAGUUGUUCUCUAAGCCUGCUGUACAGUUUUUGUCCUAGGAUAAUUUAUCAUUUCUUCUCUUUUCUACUUCUUUUAUUCUGAAAGAUUUCCAUAUUCCAAGUCUUCUUUUAAAUUUUUACAUUUAAAUUAUCCUGUCUUACAUUUACUAGAGUACCUUCUUGCCCACUCUUCCCUCACCCUUUAUUAUUAUUUUUUUCCCUCACCCUUUAAAUAGCAUUCUCUUCCAUCGGGGUAUGCAAUAUUUUAUUUCUCUGAGAAUAUUUCUAAUGUUGUAUUUCUUGAAUUGUCCGUGUUGAGUUUUUCAGUCCUUGUUUCUGUCUUUUGUGUUAGAAACUUUUCUUAAGUGUCUGGAGAUCCUUGACUACCCAUUCAUAUGUAAGAGUGUGUUUAAGAACGAGAGCUGAUUGGAAGCCCUACGUACAUGACAAGAAAAAGUUAGUGGAGCUCUGAUCUUGGAUAAUGGGAAGAAGAAUGACUAGGAAGAUACAAUGUUGGGCAGCAGUAAGAGCCUAAGAGAUAUGGACAUGAAUUUAAGACAUGUCUCCUGAAGCAAGGGAAACAAAAGCAAAA